CACUGUAUUUUGUUCUUAAAAACCAGAAGUGCAUUUCAAUAAAAUUUUAUUCCUAUAUAAAGGAGAUAAUGGAUUAUGGCAUUUGUCUACUUUUAUUUGUAAUAUAUUACACAGUAAGAUGUUGUAUGCAGUUGUUGCUUUUGAUGAAGAAAAUAAUACAGAUUACCUACCACUAGUUUGGCUAGUCAAUGCUAUGAGUGAAAAUGUUUUAUUAAUAAUUUCCUCUAGAAAAUCAACAGAUUUUUAUUGGCCUCGCUGGACUAAUAUGAAAAAUUGACUAUGCAAAAUCAAUAUGUCAAGAACCCGAGGUUGGGUGGCUAAUAUUUUCAGGAAGAAUUUUGUCAACCGCAGACACAGAAUCCGAAGCGAAAGAAAAAUGUAGAUAUGCAGAAGAUACCUCAAAUGUUGAUGAAAUGUAUCUGAGAAAGCAGAAAAGUCAUUCUUGUUGUGAUAUUCAAGGCAAAUCUUU